GGGAGAGCACACAGUGAGUUCCAAUACACACACUUACCCUUUCUUGCUCAGGACGUCCUAAGGAAUUUUAAGUCACUGAACGUUCAGGUCUCACAAACAUUUAUUUCAAGGGCACAGUCUACCGUUUGAGUCCCUCAUAAUCUGUUCAUUCAUCACUAAAGCAUUUUUGUUGCAUCCAAUUUUUCAACCUUAUACACGAUGCUACAACAACACUACUUGGUGUACCACUGUUUGCCUGUGUUUUCAAUCACAGUUGACCCUUGAACAAUGGGCGGCGGGGUGGGUGUUAGCGAGGAUCAUUUGAGCCUGGUAAAUACCUUUUAAAACUGUAUUAAAACACAUAUACAAGUACACGAU
rnacentral:lncRNA from 1 species